rnacentral:rRNA from 1 species
GCAAGUCGAACGAAUCUUUCGGGAUUAGUGGCGGACGGGUGAGUAACGCGUGAGAAUCUGCCUUCAGGAUGGGGACAACAGUGGGAAAUCGCUGCUAAAACCCAAUAUGCCGAGAGGUGAAAUAUUUAUAGCCUGAAGAGGAGCUCGCGUCCGAUUAGUUAGUUGGUGGGGUAAAAGCCUACCAAGGCGACGAUGAUUAGCUGGUCUGAGAGGAUGAUC